rnacentral:miRNA from 1 species
UUCCUUCCAUCUCCGAUCACCUUGAGCAUCUUCUGGGCAGCUGAGGUGGCCGCAGAUGGGAAGGAA